CAUUGGGCGGCACUCUGCCCUCGGGACCCAAGAGCCUCAAGGUCAAGCGCCAAGCCUACCCUCACGAUGGUUCAAGAGGACUGAAGCAGCCCGCUCCAGCCAGCCCGCCUGUCACAGAUAACCAUCACGGGGCUGGAGCCAAGGGUGCAACUGGAUGUGGCAGAAACCUUGGACCACUGGACAAAACCCCGAGAAGGAUUGUCAGAAGAUCCUCUGACCAAUCCUGAGGAAAUCUGGUACACUGAUGGAAGCAGCUUUGUCUUGGAUGGAAAAAGAAGAGCCAGGUCAGCAAGCUACAACAUGCAGUGCCAGUUCAACAAAGAUAUAAAACUACAGCCGACCAUGAAAAAUAUCACACACCCUUAGAUGGACACCACUAUAAGGACUCUGAGGC